rfam:Arthrobotrys oligospora ATCC 24927 unplaced genomic scaffold scaffold00112, whole genome shotgun sequence.
GUCGCUGUGGCCGAGUGGUUAAGGCGAUUGACUAGAAAGACAUUCGUUCUCUCUUGAUAUCAAUUCCGUUCGCGGGCAUAGGUUCGAGUCCUAUCGGCGACG